UUGGGCGAACUGUGGUUAAGGAACUCGGCAAAUUACCCCCGUAACUUCGGGAGAAGGGGGGCCACAGACUGUCAUACCCCACGCGGGUGGCAGCAGUAGGUGGCCGCAGAGACCAGGGGGAAGCGACUGUUUACUAAAAACACAGGUCCGUGCGAAGUCGUAAGACGAUGUAUACGGACUGACGCCUGCCCGGUGCUGGAACGUUAAGGGGACCGGUUAGUCCGCAAGGGCGAAGCUGAGAACUUAAGCGCCAGUAAACGGCGGUGGUAACUAUAACCAUCCUAAGGUAGCGAAAUUCCUUGUCGGGUAAGUUCCGACCUGCACGAAUGGCGUAACGACUUCCCUACUGUCUCAACCACAGGCCCGGCGAAAUUGCACUACGAGUAAAGAUGCUCGUUACGCGCGGAAGGACGGAAAGACCCCGGGACCUUCACUAUAGCUUGACAUUGGUAUCCGAAUUUAAUUGUGUAGGAUAGGUGGGAGGCUUUGAUCCGCGGACGCCAGUCCGUCGGGGAGCCAACGUUGAAAUACCACUCUGUUGAAUUUGGGUAUCUAACUUCGGACCGUGAUCCGGUUCAGGGACAGUGUCUGGUGGGUAGUUUAACUGGGGCGGUUGCCUCCUAAAAUGUAACGGAGGCGCCCAAAGGUUCCCUCAGCCUGGUUGGCAAUCAGGUGUUGAGUGCAAGUGCACAAGGGAGCUUGACUGUGAGACUGACAGGUCGAGCAGGGACGAAAGUCGGGACUAGUGACCCGGCACCUGCGAGUGGAAGCGGUGUCGCUCAACGGAUAAAAGGUACCCCGGGGAUAACAGGCUGAUCUUCCCCAAGAGUCCAUAUCGACGGGAUGGUUUGGCACCUCGAUGUCGGCUCGUCGCAUCCUGGGGCUGGAGUAGGUCCCAAGGGUUGGGCUGUUCGCCCAUUAAAGCGGCACGCGAGCUGGGUUUAGAACGUCGUGGCACAGUUCGGUCCCUAUCCUCCGCGCGCGUAGGAGACUUGAGAAGAGCUGUCCCUAGUACGAGAGGACCGGGACGGACGAACCUCUGGUGUGCCAGUUGUCAUGCCAAUGGCACGGCUGGUUAGCUACGUUCGGAAGGGAUAACCGCUGAAAGCAUCUAAGCGGGAAGCUCGCUUCAAGAUGAGGUCUCCCACCCCUUCGAGGGUUAAGGCCCCCAGCUAGACCACUGGGUUGAUAGGCCAGAAGUGUAAGCCUGGUAACAGGUUCAGCCGACUGGUACUAAUAGGCCGAGGACUC
rnacentral:rRNA from 1 species